rnacentral:lncRNA from 12 species
AUGAGCACAAAACGCCGUAUUUCCAAAAUAAGGCACACCCAUUCCAUGAAGCUGUUGGUUUUGAGAAACCAAUACACACGUCUCUCACCAGUAAAACCUGACAAGGAGAGUGAAGGUCAAGCACUUCAAGGCAAUUGGCAUGUCACUGACGUCAGUAAAGAAAGGCUAAUUGCUGAGAAGAUGAUUCAUGUUGUUUUGAAUGAAAAGGAAAUGGAUUUCUCUGUACCUUUCCCAUCUCUCUAUGUCCCAAUCCUGUGCCCAUGAGAUAUUUUUCCAGAAGAUCCUCUGAGAUCUAUAGACAUUCUGAUUGCAUUUACUUAUUAAACUGGAAGAAGCUUUAGAAAUCAUCCAGACUGAUUCCCUCACUAAAUGGAAGAAGACACAGACACAGAUAGGGCACUCAGUUACCUAAUGUCACACAGUGACUUACCAAUCAGUAAGGCUCUAGUCUUCUGAUUUCCAGACUUGAAUUCUUUGUCACUCAGUACUAUUCCCUCAACCAAUGAUUUGACCGAUAAGACUAUCUAGAUGCAGGAUAGGUGAGAAAGAUCACUUACUGAUCACCUACCAUAUGAUAGUCAUUGUGCAUUUAAUCUUCAUUGAGCAUUAUAACUACAUUAAAAGCUGAAAUUAUCUUCAUUUUAUAAAUAAGGGACUUAGGGCCAGAAAUUUUAAGUGAUUUGUCUAUAUGCACUGAGCAGGAAAGUGGCAGAACCUAGUUUUAAAACUGAAUCACCCCAAUUCCAGAGCUCAUGUCUAUUCCAGUAAUGACAUAUCCAUAGCUGAACCUUGGUCUUUCUUCUCUCCUCUUCCAUCCCUCCUCUCUUCUUCAGUCUCUGUCUCAGUGUGUCUUCCCCUUUCUCCCUGCCCUCCUUUCUCUCUCCCAGUAAAUGGAACCACCAUCUACACAGUGGCUCAAACCAGAAGCUCCCUCUUUCAAAUCCCACCUAUUCAAGCUUCAAGUUCUGUACAUGUUACCUCCUAAAAAUCCAACUACUCCCUCCCCAUUAUCAUGACCCUUAAUCAUGGCAUCUCCAGAUGCCACCUGGACCACUGUAGAAGACUUCUAAUUCACCUCCCAUCUCUACUCUCCACACUGGAGCUCAGGGACCUUUUUAUUUGACCAUAUCACUUCUCUACCUAAAACUCAGUGAUGGCUUCCCAUUGACAUGGGGACAAACCACAAAUCCCUUGUAGUGUUCAUGAGCCCUUCUCAAGCUGGUGUCUCUGUUCCCCUGUUAGGACCCCUCUCUCUCCCUGGCUC